CCUACGGGUGGCAGCAGUGGGGGAUAUUGCACAAUGGGGGGAACCCUGAUGCAGCGACGCCGCGUGGGUGAAGAAGCGCCUCGGCGCGUAAAGCCCUGUCAGCAGGGAAGAAAAUGACGGUACCUGAAGACGAAGCCCCGGCUAACUACGUGCCAGCAGCCGCGGUAAUACGUAGGGGGCCAGCGUUAUCCGGAUUUACUGGGUGUAAAGGGGGCGUAGACGGCGAUGCAAGCCAGGCGUGAAAGCCCGGGGGCCAACCCCGGGACUGCUCUUGGAACUGCGGGGCUGGAGUGCAGGAGGGGCAGGCGGAAUUCCUGGUGUAGCGGUGAAAUGCGUAGAUAUCAGGAGGAACACCGGUGGCGAAGGCGGCAUGCUGGACUGCAACUGACGUUGAGGCCCGAAAGCGUGGGGAGCAAACAGGAUUAGAUACCCUUGUAGUC
rnacentral:rRNA from 1 species